GAUGAACGCUGGCGGCGUGCUUAACACAUGCAAGUCGAACGAAGCAUUUGCGACAGAUUUUUUCGGAAUGAAGUUGCUUAUGACUGAGUGGCGGACGGGUGAGUAACGCGUGGGUAACCUGCCUUGUACUGGGGGAUAGCAGCUGGAAACGGCUGGUAAUACCGCAUAAGCGCACAAUGUUGCAUGACAUGGUGUGAAAAACUCCGGUGGUAUAAGAUGGACCCGCGUCUGAUUAGCUAGUUGGUGAGAUAACAGCCCACCAAGGCGACGAUCAGUAGCCGACCUGAGAGGGUGACCGGCCACAUUGGGACUGAGACACGGCCCAGACUCCUACGGGAGGCAGCAGUGGGGAAUACUGCACAAUGGAGGAAACUCUGAUGCAGCGACGCCGCGUGAGUGAAGAAGUAAUUCGUUAUGUAAAGCUCUAUCAGCAGGGAAGAUAGUGACGGUACCUGACUAAGAAGCUCCGGCUAAAUACGUG
rnacentral:rRNA from 1 species